GUAGACAUAGUUUAAUAAAAACACUAGAUUGUGAUUCUAGAAAUAGGGGUUGAACCCCUCUUGUCCACC
rnacentral:tRNA from 1 species